AUUGAACGCUGGCGGCAGGCCUAACACAUGCAAGUCGAGUGAGCGGCGGACGGGUGAGUAAUGCCUAGGAAACUGCCUGAUGGAGGGGGAUAACUACUGGAAACGGUAGCUAAUACCGCAUACCAUCAGAUGUGCCCAGAUGGGAUUAGCUUGUUGGUGGGGUAACGGCUCACCAAGGCUACGAUCCCUAGCUGGGCUGAGAGGAUGACCAGCCACACGGGAACGGGGACACGGUCCAGACUCCUACGGGAGGCAGCAGUGGGGAAUAUUGCACAAUGGGCGCAAGCCUGAUGCAGCCAUGCCGCGUGUAUGAAGAAGGCCUUCGGGUUGUAAAGUACUUUCAGCGGGGAGGCGUUACCCGCAGAAGAAGCACCGGCUAACUCCGUGCCAGCAGCCGCGGUAAUAC
rnacentral:rRNA from 1 species